rnacentral:rRNA from 1 species
AGAGCGAACGCUGGCGGCAGGCCUAACACAUGCAAGUCGAACGGACCCUUCGGGGUUAGUGGCGGACGGGUGAGUAACGCGUGGGAACGUGCCUUUUGGUUCGGAAUAGCUCCUGGAAACGGGUGGUAAUGCCGAAUGUGCCCUUCGGGGGAAAGAUUUAUCGCCAUUAGAGCGGCCCGCGUCUGAUUAGCUAGUUGGUGAGGUAAUGGCUCACCAAGGCGACGAUCAGUAGCUGGUCUGAGAGGAUGACCAGCCACAUUGGGACUGAGACACGGCCCAAACUCCUACGGGAGGCAGCAGUGGGGAAUCUUGCGCAAUGGGCGAAAGCCUGACGCAGCCAUGCCGCGUGAAUGAUGAAGGUCUUAGGAUUGUAAAAUUCUUUCACCGGGGACGAAUAAUGACGGUACCCGAGAAGAAGCCCGGCUAACUUCGCGCCAGCAGCCGC